CAGCAGCCGCGGGAAAACGUAGGUGGCAAGCGUUGUCCGGAAUUAUUGGGCGUAAAGGGCUCGCAGGCGGUUUCUUAAGUCUGAUGUGAAAGCCCCCGGCUCAACCGGGGAGGGUCAUUGGAAACUGGGAAACUUGAGUGCAGAAGAGGAGAGUGGAAUUCCACGUGUAGCGGUGAAAUGCGUAGAGAUGUGGAGGAACACCAGUGGCGAAGGCGACUCUCUGGUCUGUAACUGUCGCUGAGGAGCGAAAGCGUGGGGAGCGAACAGGAUUAGAUACCCCGGUAGUCCCUGUCUCUUAUAC
rnacentral:rRNA from 1 species